AACGAACGCUGGCGGCAGGCCUAACACAUGCAAGUCGAACGAAGUCUUCGGACUUAGUGGCGGACGGGUGAGUAACACGUGGGAACGUGCCUUUAGGUUCGGAAUAACUCAGGGAAACUUGUGCUAAUACCGAAUGUGCCCUUCGGGGGAAAGAUUUAUCGCCUUUAGAGCGGCCCGCGUCUGAUUAGCUAGUUGGUGAGGUAAAGGCUCACCAAGGCGGCGAUCAGUAGCUGGUCUGAGAGGAUGAUCAGCCACAUUGGGACUGAGACACGGCCCAAACUCCUACGGGAGGCAGCAGUGGGGAAUCUUGCGCAAUGGGCGAAAGCCUGACGCAGCCAUGCCGCGUGAAUGAUGAAGGUCUUAGGAUUGUAAAAUUCUUUCACCGGGGACGAUAAUGACGGUACCCGGAGAAGAAGCCCCGGCUAACUUCGUGCCAGCAGCCGCGGUAAGAC
rnacentral:rRNA from 1 species